UACGGAGGGGGCUAGCGUUGUCCGAAGUUACUGGGCGUAAAGGGUGCGUAGGCGGUUUGAUAAGUCUGAUGUGAAAUCCCGCAGCUUAACUGCGGAACUGCAUUGGAAACUAUUUGACUAGAGGAAUGGAGGGGAGACUGGAAUACUUGGUGUAGCAGUGAAAUGCGUGGAUAUCAAGUGGAACACCAGUGGCGAAGGCGAGUCUCUGGACAUUUCCUGACGCUGAGGCACGAAAGCCAGGGGAGCAAACGGG
rnacentral:rRNA from 1 species